rnacentral:rRNA from 1 species
CCGCUGAACUUAAGCAUAUCAAUAAGCGGAGGAAAAGAAACCAACAGGGAUUGCCUUAGUAACGGCGAGUGAAGCGGCAACAGCUCAAAUUUGAAAGCUGGUCCUUUCAGGGCCCGCGUUGUAAUCUGUAGAGGAUGGUUCGGCGAGGGCUCCCGCCUAAGUCCCCUGGAACGGGGCGUCAUAGAGGGUGAGAAUCCCGUAUGCGGUGGGCUGCCUUAGCCGUGUGAACCUCCUUCGACGAGUCGAGUUGUUUGGGAAUGCAGCUCUAAAUGGGAGGUAAAUUUCUUCUAAAGCUAAAUACCGGCCAGAGACCGAUAGCGCACAAGUAGAGUGAUCGAAAGAUGAAAAGCACUUUGGAAAGAGAGUUAAAAAGUACGUGAAAUUGUUGAAAGGGAAGCGCUUGCAACCAGACUUGUCCGCAGUUGCUCAGCCGGUCUCCUGACCGGCGUACUCUUCUGCGGCCAGGCCAGCAUCAGUUCGGGCGGUCGGAUAAAGGCCCCGGGAAUGUGGCUCCUCUCGGGGAGUGUUAUAGCCCGGGGCGGAAUGCGGCCAGCCUGGACUGAGGAUCUCGCUUCGGCAAGGAUGCUGGCGUAAUGGUUGUAAGCGGCCCGUCUUGAAACACGGACCAAGGAGUCUAACAUCUAUGCGAGUGUUUGGGUGUCAAACCCAUACGCGUAAUGAAAGUGAACGGAGGUGGGAACCCGCAAGGGCGCACCAUCGGCCGAUCCUGAUGUCUUCGGAUGGAUUUGAGCAAGAGCAUAGCUGUUGGGACCCGAAAGAUGGUGAACUAUGCCUGAAUAGGGUGAAGCCAGAGGAAACUCUGGUGGAGGCUCGCAGCGGUUCUGACGUGCAAAUCGAUCGUCAAAUUUGGGUAUAGGGGCGAAAGACUAAUCGAACCAUCUAGUAGCUGGUUCCUG